ensembl:lncRNA
CUUUCUUCAACACAUGGAAAUAAUGUAUGAGCACAGGGAUGAACUUUGUACAUCUCGGUUUUCUAAAUGUAAUCAUUUUCCACACAUAGAGACUAGUCAGAGAGACGGUGAUCGAGAGAAACCUGCCAAAUGUCCCGUCAUACAGUUUACAUUUUGUCCCUUUUUUAACUGCUUUUAACUCCACCUACUUCCCUGCUGUUUACAAAUCCCAAGGGAGAUGGUUUGCCCACAGGUGAUGUGGGAGGAGGAGAGAAGAAGGAGACCCAAAGGAGGAGGAGUAGAGGCAACAGCACAACAUCACCGCCCAAUCUUUAGAAGAUCAACUUAUCAUUCCAUCAGCUCCACCAUCAGUGGCUGGACUGAGGGCGGACACCCAUCGAUUAAUACUUCAGCAGAAGAUUACAUUUCUUUAACUAAAAUAGAAUUACUACUCAUAAGUUUUUCUUCUUUUUAAAAAAAUAUAUAGGAUAUAAGUUGUUUUCAAUAGCCGUCUGAAAAUCAAUCACUUAAACUGUGUGACCAUUUCCCCUGAAUGUAGAAUCAAUUUUUUAACUUUGGUGUUGGAUGAGUAAUUACCAAUUAA